GGCACUGGGACUACCACAAACCGCAUGCUCAGAGAAGCCAGUGAUCACUGCUCUCUGCAGCGCUGUAUAAACCAAACACACAGUCUGAAAACAGUAGGCGCAUGACUAAAGCCUUGUUCAUUUCAAUCCACUGGCUGAUUGACACAUUCAGUAACAAUAUUAAGAGACUCCUGUUCCCAGUGGUUUAGUUCUUCCGUUCAUUUCACACUGCCUGGUAGUCUCUGGGAAGAUGCCUCGCUGGAGAAAAAUAGUCAUGUCAUGAAAACAACUGGAUUUCUGGAAUUAGCUUGGGAUCUCUGUAGAGGAAAGUCUCAGAGCCAAAAGAGAGUGUUCACAUCUUAUACUGAUCCUCACGGAAUAUCUGAACAGAUUUGUUACCGAGAAAAAGAUCCUGGGGCCCUUGAGAUUUUUGAAUCCAGUGGAGGAAGCACCGUGAGUCACUGUGGAAAGAGUUACCUCAUCUGCUGGGCUUCUACUUGUGAUGCUGUGAAAGAAGAUGGAGAUAGCAGCACAGACUUCACAGGGUUGUUAGGAUGAAAUAAACAAGCACAUGGGAUGUUCAGAAGAAUGUUCGACUUACGAUAACUGCUCAGUGACUGUUAGCCUUAUCCCAGAAAAUGCUGAGACAGACCAGGAGGACCAGUGAAGCACUGUUAAUUCCUGGAUGUCUUUAGCAAGCAAGGUUGAGAGGUAGUCAUAUCUCCACAAGAUCGGGUCUUUCAACAUUCUAUUUGGGAUGAUAAAAGGACUCUCUCAAGGACUACCACCUCCCUCAGGGACUGUUUGUCAUUAACAGUUGCUGGGGGAGGGGGACUCAUAUUCUUUAGUGGUGUAGCACUGGCAAGUUGCCCAUGCUCUGGUACAAAAUAUGCUCCUAAUGCUCACACUCACUCACACUAGGAAGGACGUUAACAGGGAAGAAGGUAGUCACCAUGAAUUAGGAGAAUGCAAGGUAAUGGGGGGUGAAUGUGAUAACAAUACAGUGUGUACAUGUAUGAAAUUGUAAAGGAAGAGCAGGAGGGGGGGGCUGUCUCCUUGUUGACAAGGGAAUGUCACACUUGGUGGCAGGAGGAAGAAACUUCUGACAGGCGAUAGACAAGUGUUUUGCAGAGCCAGCAGUGAGCAACAGUCAACACACCUGCUGUGCUAUACAUAACCCAGUUUCUUGGUCUGCUCUACUCUAAGCUCUUCCAUCUGGCCAAACACUUCAGUCAGAGUCAGGUGCCUCCUAUAAGCAGGUCCAGGGUGGGCUGGUUCCACAUGGAAUGAGCUAGACUGGAUAUCAAGAUGGGCAAGCCCUCCAAUUCAGCCAUACAUGACUUGGGCAGAGAAGGAUUCAAUCUGAGGCCCAGACCAUCACGCACCUGUAAGUUUCGGUCCCCUCAGGCAUCACAUCUUCCCUGAUCCCCCCUCAAUGGUAUGAUCAUGCCCUUAGGGAUGGCUGGGUUGCUCUCACUGCAGCCUGUGUGUGGCCCUGGGAGCCCACAAGUGGAGAGCUUGGAAUCCUCAUUCUAGUAGGAGAAGCAAGCUUGCAAACUGUGACUUGAGGGUCUUAACUCUAUUCAUCCAAGUCAAGAAAAGCAGGAUGCUGGCUGGCCCAGCUUUCAAGGCUCACCCCUUUCAAGACUCUCAGCAUGGAGUUGGCCUGACUUAAGCUGUGCAGCUGGCUUGUGACUUGUUCUUAGCUGUGUCUGUCCAGGUAAAGGGCACUUUCUGCUAGCCAGUCCUGGAGUUAUAGCCUGAGAAAUCACACUGUAGAUCCUAGGGGACCUGGGACUCAAGAAGAAGAAGAAGGAUCAUGAGCAUGGCAAAAACAGACAAACAAACAACAAAACCCCACAUAAACUUUAGUUGAGUCCCAGCGGAAUGCCAUCUGCAGGCCGGAGUUAGUUGCCCAGUCUCCCUCCACCUUGACUUCUUAUACAUGACUUGGAGGCAACACCUACCCACUUGUGCUGACUGACUGGGGUAGGCAGCUUCACUCCAGCCCUAGCACCAGGGAAGGUGGCAAAGGCUGUGUUCUUUCUCUUUGGGCAGGCCCUUUGCUGAACCACUUGGCUUCAUGGCACUUGGGGGGCCUCUUGCUUCCUUCUUGAAUGGUGGCUUCACCUCACAGUGACAUGGACACUGACUUCUGACCUCCUUUCUUGUCUAGGACUGUGAAAGAAAAGGAACAGAAAUGUGGAACUCCAAGGAAAGGUCAUAGUUCCAGGCCACCCUGAGAAGUCCCAGCUCUGCUCUAUUGCGGUGGCCAGUUAUUCUUGUACUCUUGUCUCAGAGUCAUGGCCUGAGGAGUAGAGACCGUAGUACUCGUUUCUUCUAUAAUUAUUUGAUGUGAUUGCAUGGAUGUUAGACACAAAAGUAUUGGUCUUAAAAUAUCCAGGAAGAAAGAUGCUGAUGGGUUAGGGAGCUAUCUCAAUGGAUAGGUUGCUUACCUAGCAUGCACAAGAUAGCCAACACUGUAUAAAACCAGCUUGGCAACACACACUUGUGUAAAGGUGAAGUCAGGAGGAUCAGAGUUCAAAGCCAGCCUUAUGUACUUUGUUCCUUGUCUUUAAAAAGAAAAAGGAAAAAAGAAGAAAAAAAGAGGGAUGGUGACAGAACAUGGGCCAUUUCUCUGAACCACCAGGCCCCCAACUAUUGAAUCUGAAUCUAACCUAAAAGAUGGAUAAGAAUAAAAAAACAUAAGAGAAGAGCAGGUCCUUCUGACUGCUAGAGCUCUACUCCAUACUCAGAAAAGUCUGAGCUGGAAGCUUCAUCAUCCGCAGCUUGAAUCUAGGACCAUCUGUACAUCUACAGUGUUUGUGAGGGAGCAUCAGCUGGAGGCCCCUCUAGAGCCAGACAGUUACACUUGUGUAUUCACAGAAAGUCUCUAGUUCCCUGAGCAGUGGGAGGAGACUCUCAACUUAGCAGGGCAAACAUCUUCUGGAGAUGUUAUUUGGGGCUUGAUCUGCAGACUCUUUUGUUCCAGGAGUUAGCUUGCUGAGUAAGAACAGGCAGAGUCCUCUGUGUUCCCAGCACAUGGACUCUCACACCCAGAAUCUCUGCUCCAGUAUAUGUUCCUCGUGUUGGGAUCCUAGGGUUGGGCUGAGAUGGGUGAAACAGCAUUUUCCUUUGUGGGUUCUUUGUUGGACCAUGACAUUAAUAAUACCUAUAGUGUCUUAAAUGUGUCAGGAAUUUCUACAGCUUCUUUCCUUGCUUCUGGGUCUAACCUCCCUUGCUACAGAGCUUCUGAGAGGAUGUCAGUCUCAUUCCAACAGCUGGAGAAGCCGCCUGCCACCUAAAGCUUACUUCCUGUGAAAAUCACCCCUGCAGCCCUUGGAAUGUCAUCCUCAGGAACUUCCUUCAAAGUUGUGAAGAUGACAGUCAGCAAACCUGGGCUCUUUUCCUUCUCAGACCUUUGAUGGGGUUGAAGACUAGAUAGUCUCAGCUACCAUCCUCUCAUAUCCUAGUUGAGACAUUUUAGGGACAUGACUUAGACUCCUCAGGAAAGGACAACUGUUGGAAUAAUCUCUGUUGUUAGCCAAUUACCUAUAGCUUGGUCAUUUAGUGUGUAUUUCUUCCUUAUAGAUAUUCUUGUUGGUUGUAGUUGUAAUUUUUUGUGUUUUUUAAGCUUUUUAUCUCCUGGAAAAUACAUGAUAUUUGUUCUUAUUGUAUAUAGUUUCGUAUUAGGUUUAGAACCCUCUUAUUUAGACAAAAAGGGGAAUUGUUGCAGGAAUAUUUUCAGCCAGUAGUCUUUGAGGUACCAGCCCCUUUGCAGCAGGGCUCAGAGGCUAUGUGUGGAAUGGAAGCAAGUGCUUGCUCUCUUGGGUGGAUCAGGAAACAGCUUCUGCCCCUUAAGGUGCAGACGACCACGGAAGUGACUUUACCUUCUUUGUGUGAGUGAUUCCCUAAUAAACACCUGGCUUCUCUUUAUUCUGGGUUCUUGUGGACUACCUUGAUACAUCCUCUCUCUCUCUCUCUCUCUCUCUCUCUCUCUCCCUCCCUCCCUCCCU